ensembl:misc_RNA 7SK 7SK RNA
GGAUGUGAGGGCGAUUUGUUGGCAAUAUCUAUCACCCCACUGAUUUCCAGGAUUAAUUUGGCUGAUCUGACUGGCUAGGAGGCCUCCCCUUACUCUUACUGUUCCAUGUGUGUCAUUUCUGAAGUUUGAAGCUGGGUGCGAGUGUUGUGUGCUGGAUUAAAGAAGACAGCCUUCCAUAAACAGAGACAGAUUUUUUCUGUUGAACUUGAUGUUAUGUGAGUAGUUGUGUGCCCAUACUAGAACUGUCAAGGAAGCUCUCAACUAUGUAACUUAAACAGGAAUAUGUACUCUUGUAAGUAAAUAUAGUUUGAAUAUAAGGUAUGAUAUCCACCUUCCUUC